rnacentral:lncRNA from 1 species
CGUUCUGCCCCGAACAGGCGUUAGCNNNNNNNNNNNNNNNNNNNNNNNNNCCGACCUGCCUGGUUCAGCUGGCCCUACCUUCCCCUCCCCCUGCCCUGGCCCAACCUGCCUGGCUCCAGCUGGCCCACUACCUCCCUCCCCCUGCGCUGGCCCUACCUCCCUCCCCCUGCCCUGGUCCGACCUGCCUGGCUCCAGCUGGCCCUACCUCCCCUCCCUGCCCUGGCCCUACCUCCCCUCCCUGCCCUGGUCCGACCUGCCUGGCUCCAGCUGGCCCUGUCCCUUGUCCAUGGACCUACCUCGCCCUGGCCUGCCUUGCUCCAGCUGGCCCUGGCCAGGCCAAACCUUGCCCCUGGUCUGUCUGGAUGGCUCCAGCAGAUGAGUGUGUUUCCAAGGUGUACAAAAUAGGAGAGGAGAUAAGCAUAGAGCUUUAAAAUGAACAACUGUAUGGAGUCAACAGUUGUCCCCCUUCCUUCCCCCUCCCCCACCCUCCUUCCCCCACCCCCACCCCCACCUCCUCUCCCCCACCCCCUCCCUCCCCAGUCUACCACAGGAAUCCAGCCAGCUGCAGCUCCACUGUUACUGAAAACACUCUCACCUUAGUGUUAAAUACCGAAAUACCUGGGGUACCAGACCAGCCCACCACCAGCAUCCAGCCGACCAGCUCACCAGCCAGCCAUACAGCCCACCAGCCAGCCAUCCAGCCCACCAGCCAUCCAGCCAGACUAGCCCACCAGCCAUCCAGCCAUUCAGCCCACCAGCCAUUCAGCCCACCAGCCAUCCAGCCAGACCAGAGCCAUCCAGCCAGACUAGCCAUCCAGCCCGACCAGCCCACCGCCAGCCAGCCAACCAAACAACCAGCCUUCCUGCCAACCAACCAUCCAUCCAGCCAUCCAUCCAGCCCCCAGCCAGCCAACCAACCAACCAGCCAGCCAGCCAGACAGCCAUCCAGCCAGCCAACCAGCCAACCGCCACAGCCACCAACCACCAGCCAACCAACCAACCAGCACCCAACCUCCAUCAUCCAUCCAGCCAACCAGCCAACCAACCAUCCAGCCAACCAACCAGCCAACCAACCCCCAUCAGCCAACAACCAGCCAUCCACAACUAAUCACCAUCAGCCAAACCAACCAGCCAUCCAGCCAACCAACCAGCCAGCCAGCCAAACGCCAGCCAACCAACCAGCCACCAACCAUCCAGCCAACCAACCAGCCAGCCAGCCAACCAACCAGCCAGUCCGCCAACCAACCAGCCAACCAACCAGCCAGCCAUCCAGCCAGCAACCAAGCAGCCAGCCAACCCGCAUCCAGCCAACCACCAGCCAGACCGCCAGCCAGACCGC